rnacentral:lncRNA from 1 species
CUUUUUUUUUUAUAUUGGUGAUUAAUUGCUUGGUCUAAGGUCAGAGCGCUUCGCAGUGUAAAUGCGUUACGAACACCACAAGACUUCACACACCAAUUAUUCACUUUAUUCUAGUGGUUUAUUUAACCGUGCAAUGGUUGAGAUCCCUAAAGAUUUAUGCACUAGUACCCAUGUAGCGAGCGUUGGGUCAACAAUCCCAAACCACGAAGGGCUUUAGGUUGUUAGGCACAAAGUCCCCUCAGACUUAAUUACUCGAGUACUAAUGAGCUCAACCUAGUUAAUUCUACCACUUAUUUUU